rnacentral:rRNA from 1 species
UACGGAGGGUGCAAGCGUUAUCCGGAUUCACUGGGCGUAAAGGGUGCGUAGGUGGUUGGGUAAGUCUGAUGUGAAAUCUCCGGGCUCAACCCGGAAAUGGCAUUGGAUACUAUUCGGCUAGAGGUUUGGAGGGGGGACUGGAAUUCUCGGUGUAGCAGUGAAAUGCGUAGAUAUCGAGAGGAACACCAGUGGCGAGGGCGAGUCCCUGGACAACACCUGACACUGAGGCACGAAAGCUAGGGGAGCAAACAGG